ensembl:lncRNA
GGCAGAGGGAGAGGGGGGGGCGGGACUUCGUUUGAGACGCGCGCCUAGGUGCCAAUUCGGCCCAGUAUUAAACGUGCUUAUGAGCUAUAAACACGCGACGUCUCCACGGGGCCGUUGGCUGUUUUACAAGUGUAAUGGAUGUCUCUGGGACGCCCGAGCAGAGCGGCCCUGUUGUGAGGCUGAUAUUUCCGGAGGAGAAAUUGCCGUCUGAUCUUUAUUUGAAACAAGACUGCGGCCAAAACGAACCACACGCUGCAGAUUUAUGGACAGAUUUACAUCUCGUGGAUAACAACAAAAGCUGCAUAAAUUCCUCAACUGGAUGUCAGCAAACUGCUGAGCUCGCCUUUCUUGCUGUUGGCAGCGAGUUUGGCAAACCACAAUCCAUACCGGCGCCUCAAGUGAACAGUGUGUGCAGGAUCAGAUUUCAUUUCACUGAAUUCAAAAGGAUGUUUUACAGCUAAUAAAUGCCCAUUUUCCAUGUCCAUUUGUCAAGAAUUACCAUCUCUGUGACGGGAAAAGAAAGAGUUUGAGUUUGAGGCUAACUUGCAGAGAGGUAACUGUCUUAGUUUGUUUAACUUAAGUGAAUAUUGGCUGCGAGUGUCCCCCAAAGCGCCGGGCCAGUGAUAAAUGUGGAUGCAGCGCGCGGGUCCGGAGUUAUUUGAAAUGUGAGCCGUCUUCCAGUGGAGCAUGUACAAAGUGCAUGAACUAAAACUCUUCAGUGGAUGAAGCAACUCCUUUUAUACGUCGGGAUCUAUGAGUUAUUGUUCAGCUUCUGCUAUUGAAUCUGCACCGGGUUUGUACGUAUUUGCCUACCGAUGCCACCUUACACAGGUGGGGGGCCCCCAUGUGCUGUGUAUGUAGUCAAGUGGAGCGAGUGUGUUAAGAUGUCGUUUCUGUGUCGUUUUAACUUUCCAUCAGUCUCUAAUUGGUACUGUAUUGUAAGAUGACAUAUAUUUUUUUACACGUAUCGUUUCAAAUGUAUUUGCUGUGUUGAAAUUAGAUUAAAGAAAUGGAUGCUGACUCUGUGGUGCAUUAACUGCUGCGAAGUGUUGAGUAUGUGUGUCCAGGCUUGAAUAACGAACGCCUCGGGGAAAACAGAAACCUGUUUACACGACCGCGGAUGAAAAAUGUCAUCUUUCAGUCUUUGCCUGAACUUGUUUUCUUUCACUCAUCGAAAAGCAUUGAGUGACAUGAAUAAAAGUAGAACAUACAGUGUACAUAUUACAUUAAAAAAGUGGGGGGGAAACAUCUACAUUUCCAUUUCCUUGAAACUCACGAGUAGAAGGACUCAGAUCUUAGUUUAGCCAAAGGAAAAGCCACACAUUAUUCAUUUCAAUAUUCAUAUAUAUUAAAGCAAUACGGUACGAGAGGCUGUACAUUAUAGUCCAAUAAUGUAAUAGUUUGGCGGUGGUGUUGGGCAACCCUGGAACUGUUAAUGUUAAUAUAUGAAUAUUAAAAUGAAUUCUUUCUUUUUCGCAU